rnacentral:rRNA from 1 species
UACAGAGGAGCCAAGCGUUGUCCGGAUUGACUGGGCGUAAAGCGCACGCAGGCGGACGCGCGCGUGGGGUGUGAAAUCUGGCCGCUUAACGGCCAGGCGCCAUCCCAUACGGCGCAACUGGAGGGCUGCAGAGGUCGAUGGAAUUGCCGGUGUAGUGGUGAAAUGCGUAGAGAUCGGCAGGAACACCCAGGGGGAAACCAGUCGACUGGGCAGCACCUGACGCUGAGGUGCGAGAGCGGUGGGGAGCGAACCGG